UCUUGUUGCUUUCUUGAUCUAAGUUCUAGAACCUCUACUGCCCCUAUAUACUUUUCAUCGGUGAUUUUUUUAGCUGCUUAUAGUUUUGAUAUGGGGGUUCCUCUAUGUUUCAGCUGUUACAUUCACAAAAAAACAAGUAUGUAGUAUGUGGCUAGAAUCAGGAAAAUGCUUUUCAUACUUCACCUUUGAGCUUCUCUUGGUUUUAGUUAAUUUAACACAAGAUAUGCUACUUCACCUUUGAAGGGGAGCCUUGGAGUAACUGGUAAAGUUGCUGCCAUGUGAUCAGGAGAUCACAGAUGCAAGCCUUGGAAACAGCCCCUCGCAGAAAUGCAAGUUGAGGCUGCGUACAAUAGGUCCUUGUGGCCGGACCCUUCCCUGGACCCUGUGCAUACUGGAAGCUUAGUGCACCGAGCUUCCCUUUUUAUAUUUCUCGUGGUGAUGCCUGUUCAGAGUUUUGGAAUAUUUUACUGUUGUUGGAACCCAUGAGUGUUGCCUAGUGGUUCAAUGAAGUUGGGUUGAGCACCUUGAGGUCUCAGGUUCAAUUCCCAACAGAGACAACACCAGGUGAUUUCAUCCCAUCUGUUCUAGCCUUGGUCGACAGUGUUACCUGGUACCUGUUGCUGGUGGGAGGUGGCAGGUAUUCGGUGGAAUUAGUUGAGGUGCGCGCAAACUGGCCCGGACUCCACGGUUAUUUUUUUUUGCUGUUGUUGUUCUUGCCCCAACACCACCAUUAUAGUACUGAAUUCUAUCUUAAGCUUGACGUGCUUUUGGUUGGUGGCUUAAACAAUAGCACACAGUACUUCAUGUAGUGGGUCUUCCUUUUAUUUUCUCUAGGUUAAACUGGAUUGCACUAUUCAAAUAGAGCGUUUUGCCAUGUUGCUAGAAUUCGUAGCUGAAACUGCAUGUUAUAUGUGUGGAAAAGCAGAAAAUGCUAAUGUAACAUGUCUAUACCAUUCACUGUUCUAUAUAUUCUGUAUAUUAAGGUUAGUAUCAGUUAAUAUCUUUGCCGAAUUGUUGGCGUCAUAAGCACUCACAAAGUUGCAGAACGAUGUGCAUUCUGCUUGGUGUGUGUGUGUUGGUUAAUAUCUAGAUUUGUGUUGUACUGUUUAUGAUGUGUUUUUUCUCAAUGCUUAGUCUCUCUAAACAUGUGAUUGAUAGGUUGUGAAAGAAAAUGAAGAACCUGCUGAGCUCCUAGCAUUAUUAAGUUCCCGGUUAAGCUAACAUGAUCGAGGAUGCGUCAGGAAUCCCAGUAGAUUGUCUUCUCUUUUGUACAUUUUCAGCUUCCAAAAUUUUACUGGCUUUUGAGUGAAGUCCACCUGACUAUAAUAUGGAGGAGGCUGCUGUUAGAAGUUGUCAGAGGUGGUUCACCUGAAUGUACAUGUUACAGUGCUGCAACACCCGAUGACCGUUAAGAGGCAAUUCGCUGACUAGACUUUUCGUUGUACAUUUGCCAUGACUUAGAAAUUAGAAAUUUCAAAGCCAGCUUAGGCAA